GCCUUGGUAGCUCAGCCUGGUAGAGCGUUACCUUGGUAAGGUAGAGGUCCGGGGUCCAAAUCCCCGCCAAGGCU
rnacentral:tRNA from 1 species